rnacentral:rRNA from 1 species
UACGGGGGGGGCAAGCGUUGUUCGGAAUUACUGGGCGUAAAGGGCUCGUAGGCGGCCAACUAAGUCCGACGUGAAAUCCCCAGGCUUAACCUGGGAACUGCGUCGGAUACUGGUUGGCUUGAAUCCGGGAGAGGGAUGCGGAAUUCCAGGUGUAGCGGUGAAAUGCGUAGAUAUCUGGAGGAACACCGGCGGCGAAGGCGGCCCUCUGGAUCGUUGCUGACGCUGAGACGCGAAAGCGUGGGGAGCAAACAGG